rnacentral:rRNA from 1 species
CCUACGGGAGGCAGCAGUAGGGAAUCUUCCUCAAUGGGCGCGAGCCUGACGCAGCCAAGUCGCGUGAAGGAUGACUGCCCUCCGGGUUGUAAACUUCUUUUAUAAAGGAAUAAAGUGAGGCACGUGUGCCUUUUUGUAUGUACUUUAUGAAUUAGGAUCGGCUAACCCCGUGCCAGCCGCCGAGGUACUACGGUGGAUCCGAGCGUUACCCGGAUUGAUUGGGCUUAAAGGGAGCGUAGAUGGGUUGUUAAGUCAGUUGUGAAAGUUUGCGGCUCAACCGUAAAAUUGCAAUUGAUACUGGCAGUCUUGAGUACAGUAGAGGUAGGCGGAAUUCGUGGUGUAGCGGUGAAAUGCUGAGAUAUCACGAAGAACUCCGAUUGCGAAGGCAGCUUACUAAACUGCCACUGACAUUGAUGCGCGAAAGUGUGGGUAUCAAACAGGAUUAGAUACCCUUGUAGUC